UACGAAGGGGGCUAGCGGUGUUCGGAAUUACUGGGCGUAAAGCGCACGUAGGCGGAUUAGUAAGUCACGGGUGAAAUCCCGGGUCUCAACCUCGGAACUGCCUUUGAUACUGCUUACCUCGAGUCCUGAAGAGGUCAGUGGAAUUCCUAGUGUACAGGUGAAAUUCUUAGAUAUUAGGAAGAACACCAGUGGCGAAGUUAGGUCUCUGGUCCGGUACUGACGCUGAGGUGCUACUGCGCGCGGAGCUAUCAGG
rnacentral:rRNA from 1 species